GCCUCCCGCCGCGGGUGUGCGGUGCGGGCAGGAGCUGCAGGCGCUCCCGGGGGGUAGCAUGGGGGCGGCUGCCUCGGAAGAAACGCGGGGAGCCCGGUUUUCCUCCAGUGUCGUCGUAACAGAGCGUGGAUGUCGGUCCUGGGGGAAACACCGACUCCUCCUGCCCCGCUGGUGCGUGAGAACGGGCGGCGAGUGGGGCCCAGAGCCGGCAGGAUGCUCUGCCCCGGGGGCGCCUGGUCUCCCCCUACACCCCGUCCCCGCGCGGACCUUGAGCCGUAAUACGUGUUCCCAGCAGCGCAGCGUGAUGGUGAGAGGAGUCGAUGCUGUGAGAGCUGGGCCACGUUUGUCUCCAGCAAUGUUCCCACUGAUGAGCAUGAGCCAGCACUGGGCCCUUGUGGCCAGGAAGCCAAUGACACAUACCCUGGUGGUUUCUACCAUCGUCCUUUCCCGUCUGUGCCUCUUCGUGGUUUUCUCCUCUUCCCAAUGCACCGAAGGUCUCCUCUGCCGCUGACAUCCCGCAGAGCCGCCCUCUCCAGCCGGUUCAUUGCUGGGCGCUGAGCGUGGCAACGCCACCCGCGGCUGCACAGGAGCAGCGCCGCUGCGUUCCAUGGUUUCCCUUCACAAACCCAACCUCUCUUGAUUCGGUGGAUUCACAACACGGGCCGGGACCCGGGAACAUCUUCGAAGCACCAGUGACUGCGUUGGAAGCAUUUUGAGGACAGUUCGUUUGAAAAUGACCCCUUAAAAAUGAGAAAAAACAGGUGCCCGUUGAAAAAACUGUUUCCAAAAAAUUGGCUUUGGGCGAAGACGGAAACCGGCUCUUUGGGACACCUCGGAGGUUCUGUGGUGGGUAAAUAAUAGAACUGGCAACCCAACCCGGAGUCCUGAGCGCUCGAGGGUAAUUUAAAUGUUUGCUGUUGUGUUUACUUUGUGUGAAUUAAGGAAGAUUUGCAUGUAAAGCGCUUUGAGGAAGCAGCAACCCCCAAAGGCGCUGCGGGCAGUGGAACGUCUCCAGCGCCGCGGCGGAGCUGUUUGUCCCUGUCGCACUGUGUGGAGGUGCCGCUGGGACGCUGGGACUGGGGAGGUUAAAGGCAUCUCAGUGCUCUUUGUGCUGCAAUCCUGAUUUUGUGCCUAAAUGCAUCUGUGUUUGGGGCUGGGCUUCUGCUCGACCUGCCCCCUUGUCCUUCGUUUGGAUUGCGAUCCGGUCUAGCCACAAGCGAAUGAAACCUCGCUGUUCCUCUUGGAUUUUUAAAACUGGUUUUAUACAUCGCGCAAGCUGCAAAAACACCCGAACCAGCGAGAUGGGCGUUAGAUUGAAAGGCAAAUUAAAACAUAUUCAAAGGCAAGUGCGUGCAAACGUGGCUCUGGGUAGAUACAAAGCGCCGGCACGAAGUGUGUACGCAGAAAACCACCCAGAACCAAAAUGUGAAUCCCUUGGUGUCUGUAGGACCCCAGUUUAUAUUUGUAUUAACUUCUAUUAUUCUCGCAGACUGCGGUGCUGCCCCGGGGCUUAUUUCAAAUACAUCCCGAAGUAUUUUCUGGUUCUCAGUGAAGGGAAGAGCCCAAUUCCCCAAUGGGGCUCAAUGUUGAUGGUGCCCACAGAUAUUUUUGCAACUAGUCGUGUUAUAAAGCCAUUGUUUCAGUUGAAUCGCA